rnacentral:rRNA from 1 species
UACGGAGGGUGCGAGCGUUAAUCGGAAUUACUGGGCGUAAAGGGUUCGUAGGUGGUUAAUUAAGUUAUCUGUAAAAUCCCUGGGCUCAACCUGGGCAGGUCAGAUAAUACUGGUUAACUCGAGUAUGGGAGAGGGUAGUGGAAUUUCCGGUGUAGCGGUGAAAUGCGUAGAGAUGCGGAGGAACACCGAUGGCGAAGGCAGCCCCCUGGGCUAACACUGACGCUCAGGCACGAAAGCGUGGGGAGCAA